rnacentral:tRNA from 1 species
CUGGGUAUAGGGCAGUCUGGUAGCCUACUCCUCUUGGACAGGAGAUGUCGUUGGUUCGAAUCCAGCUACCCAGACCA